UAGAGACGGGGUUUCACCGUGUUAGCCAGGAUGGUCUCGAUCUCCUGACCUCGUGAUCCGCCCGUCUCGGCCUCCCAAAGUGCUGGGAUUACAGGCUUGAGCCACCGCGCCUGGCCACACCUCCACUUUUAAACCUACUUCAUAUGCAGCCAUGUAAGCUACUGCACUUCCAAUUUCACUCCAGACCAACUCCAGCUACAAGUGAAGCAAAUCACCUAAUUAAAAAAUAUUCUGAGAAAAAUGCUCAAAGAACAUCUGAAUAUUUAUUGAUUAUGCAUACAUGUUUGCUGAAAAGGAGUGUAUCUAACUUUUUUGACGAAGUCAAUACGAACAUGGCCUCUGAUAAAGAAGAGAAAGCAAGGUAAUAACAGGAUUUGAAUGUAAAUUUUGCCAAAUGGUGAUAUGGUCUUUCUCACUAACCUGACAGGAUUGUAAAAUCUACCACAAUGUUUGCUUUGUUGAAGGUGUGUGUAUAUAGUGUGUAUAUACACACACACGCUAUUGACUACUAUACACAUUUUCCUUCAAGCAGUAUCUAGGAUUGUUAACCUGACUCAGCAAGAAAACACUGGUCUCUUGGAAUAGUCAGAUGGUGAUAAUACAAAUAAGACUGAGUUACCUCCAGUGGUAGCUAAUUCCUUUCUUAGUUAUGAGAAAUGAAUUGCCAUACAAAGAGCUCAGAACAGUUGCUGACACAUAAUGAUUUAUUAAAUAUUACCUAUUGUUCUAUCUAGAUAGAGCCAGUUCUCAGCCUUGGGCUUCCCAAGCUUCUCUUCCAGGAUCUUUGAGCUCAGCACUUUGUAAUCGAGGGCCCAAUUCUGUGUAUGAGACUUGAAAACUCUGAGAGAGCAUGUCUGCCCUUUGCUUCAAUGUUGCAUUUCUGAGGAAAGCUGCCUACCUAGAGGUUAUAGCUUGGUCAGUAAAAAUAAAAAGAAGAAGAAGAAGAAAAAAACAAUGUAGCUAGGCCACAGGAAUGCCGGGUUCCAGGUUAUAGUUUUAAAAUCAAAAUUCAGUUUUUCUCUCAUUGUCAGGGGUAUCAGCUUAGAGAAAGGCAGGCCGAACAACACACACCUAAAGCUCAAGGAUUAUACAGAACCAACCAGCCUCUAUUUUGUGCUGCUAAGGGCACAUCAUUAUCACACAGAGCAUUCUAGGUUUCUAGUCUUUUCACUUCUGGCAGAGCAGAUGUUGCCUUUCAUACCAGUCUCGUCUGCCUUGGCUGGGAGCUGCUAUGGGAACAAGAUUUUGUGGAAAGAAACUAGAAUUACUUGUUUCUCAUUUUAUAGUGGUAGACUUUUUAAACUGAAGACAUCAAUGUAUGACAUGACAUAACUUCUAAUUUUGCCAUAUUUACUGAAAUGAGAACUGUAUUGCACUACUUCCUGUAUUUACAAUGAAAACCUAAGAACCUUCUCUAUAUAUUUCUGACAAUCUCAAGCUUUAUUCUUCUGCCUUGAAAUAAAUGGCAAUACAGUUAUCAACCAGGACAAUGGAGAAAACAUUCUGAACUAGGGGCCAGAGACCUAUUUUAUAGGUUUGCUGUUAAAAGUCUUUAAAUUUUGCCAU
rnacentral:lncRNA from 1 species